rnacentral:tRNA from 1 species
GGGCGUAUGGUCUAGUGGUAUGAUUUCUGUUUUGCAAUGCCUCAGAGCUCUUGCAUCUACAGACGGUCCCGCGUUCGAUCCGCGGUACGUCCA